rnacentral:rRNA from 1 species
GUGGCUGGCAGACAGACGUCUUUAAGUGAGACCUCAAAUCAGGUAGGUUACCCGCUGAACUUAAGCAUAUCAAUAAGCGGAGGGAAAGAAACAACUGGGAUUGCCUUAGUAACGGCGAGUGAAGCGGCAAAAGCUCAAAUUUGAAAUCUGGUACCUUUGGUGCCCGAGUUGUAAUUUGGAGAGUACCACUUUGGGACUGUACUUUGCCUAUGUUCCUUGGAACAGGACGUCAUGGAGGGUGAGAAUCCCGUGUGGCGAGGGUGUCAGUUCUUUGUAAAGGGUGCUCGAAGAGUCGAGUUGUUUGGGAAUGCAGCUCUAAGUGGGUGGUAAAUUCCAUCUAAAGCUAAAUACAGGCGAGAGACCGAUAGCGAACAAGUACAGUGAUGGAAAGAUGAAAAGAACUUUGAAAAGAGAGUGAAAAAGUACGUGAAAUUGUUGAAAGGGAAGGGCAUUUGAUCAGACAUGGUGUUUUGCGCCCCUUGCCUCUCGUGGGCUUGGGACUCUCGCAGCUCACUGGGCCAGCAUCGGUUUUGGCGGCCGGAAAAAACCUAGGGAAUGUGGCUCUGCGCCUCGGUGUAGAGUGUUAUAGCCCUGGGGAAUACGGCCAGCCGGGACCGAGGACUGCGAUACUUGUUAUCUAGGAUGCUGGCAUAAUGGUUAUAUGCCGCCCGUCUUGAAACACGGACCAAGGAGUCUAACGUCU